AUUGAGAGUUUGAUCCUGGCUCAGGACGAACGCUGGCGGCGUGCCUAACACAUGCAAGUCGAGCGAUGAAGCUUCUUCGGAAGUGGAUUAGCGGCGGACGGGUGAGUAACACGUGGGCAACCUGCCUCAUAGAGAGGGAUAGCCUUUCGAAAGGAAG
rnacentral:rRNA from 1 species